rnacentral:rRNA from 1 species
AUAUUGCACAAUGGGCGCAAGCCUGAUGCAGCAACGCCGCGUGCGCGACGAGGGCCUUCGGGUCGUAAAGCGCUCUUCGGGGAGAUGAGUACGGACAGUAUCCCCCGAAGAAGGCUCGGCUAACUACGUCCCAGCAGCCGCGGUAAAACGUAGGAUCCGGGCGUUAUCCGAAUUCACCGGGCGUAAAGCGCAUGCAGGCGGCCGCACAAGUUGGAUGUGAAAUCUCCCGGCUCAACUGGGAGGGGACGUUCAAAACUGUGCGGCUCGAGGGCGGUAGAGGAAGGUAGAAUUCCCGGUGUAGUGGUGAAAUGCGUAGAUAUCGGGAGGAAUACCCGUGGCGAAGGCGACCUUCUGGACCGUUUCUGACGCUCAGAUGCGAAAGCUAGGGGAGCGAACG